rnacentral:rRNA from 1 species
UGGGGAAUAUUGCACAAUGGGCGAAAGCCUGAUGCAGCAACGCCGCGUGAGUGAUGAAGGCCUUCGGGUUGUAAAGCUCUGUCUUUUGGGACGAUAAUGACGGUACCAAAGGAGGAAGCCACGGCUAACUACGUGCCAGCAGCCGCGGUAAUACGUAGGUGGCAAGCGUUGUCCGGAUUUACUGGGCGUAAAGGAUGCGUAGGCGGAUUUUUAAGUGAGAUGUGAAAUACCCGGGCUUAACUUGGGUGCUGCAUUUCAAACUGGGAAUCUAGAGUGCGGGAGAGGAGAAUGGAAUUCCUAGUGUAGCGGUGAAAUGCGUAGAGAUUAGGAAGAACACCAGUGGCGAAGGCGAUUCUCUGGACCGUAACUGACGCUGAGGCAUGAAAGCGUGGGUAGCAAACAGGAUUAGAUACCCUGGUAGUCCACGCCGUAAACGAUGAGUACUAGGUGUAGGGAGUU